GCACCCUUAGUGGGAGAGUUGCCACCGGAUCCCAUAAGAACUCUAGAGUUAAGAGUGCUCGGGUGGGAGUAGUUCCUAGAUGGGUGACCUCCUUGGGAAGUCCUCGAGUACGUGUGC